AGUGAACGCUGGCGGUAGGCCUAACACAUGCAAGUCGAACGGCAGCACAGUAAGAGCUUGCUCUUACGGGUGGCGAGUGGCGGACGGGUGAGGAAUACAUCGGAAUCUACUUUUUCGUGGGGGAUAACGUAGGGAAACUUACGCUAAUACCGCAUACGACCUACGGGUGAAAGCAGGGGAUCUUCGGACCUUGCGCGAUUGAAUGAGCCGAUGUCGGAUUAGCUAGUUGGCGGGGUAAAGGCCCACCAAGGCGACGAUCCGUAGCUGGUCUGAGAGGAUGAUCAGCCACACUGGAACUGAGACACGGUCCAGACUCCUACGGGAGGCAGCAGUGGGGAAUAUUGGACAAUGGGCGCAAGCCUGAUACAGCCAUACCGCGUGGGUGAAGAAGGCCUUCGGGUUGUAAAGCCCUUUUGUUGGGAAAGAAAAGCAGCAGGUUAAUACCCCGCUGUUCUGACGGUACCCAAAGAAUAAGCACCGGAUAACUUCGUG
rnacentral:rRNA from 1 species